CGAGAUUAAGAAUCUACGAUGCCGGAGAAACAAACUGGUUGACGGGAUCGCGUGAGUCACUUCAUCGGUUUAACCCCCGGGUUCUGACGGAGACUCCUCCUGAUUAGCAUAGCUUAGCAUACACGUUGAUCCAUCAGAAUGCCAGCUUCCCAAAAAACUCACUUGAAGCUUUCUCCUCACUGUGUCUCAGACUUAAUCUCAUCUAUAUCAUCUUUAUUCAUAUUUGGGAUGAUAUCCUUGCCCAACAUGUUGCUCUGUGAGCCUUUGAAUCUCCACAAAGGUUCGAGGUAUUUUCUAUGUUAAAGCAGCACAUACUGAUACCUGAUGCACCAGUACCAGGAAAUUACUCCCAAAAUACUUGCUGUUGUUCAACGUAGUUUCUCAUGAAUCAAACGUAGUUUGUGUCCCUGCUUGUGCGGAGACGCGUAACCAUGGAAACCUGUGCAGAGAAUCAUCAAGUGUGAAGCAGCGUGGAGAGCUGAAGGGUUAGAGAGCCGCCCGAGAAGAUUCAUAUUACUAACAUGUGAUCUAUGUGACGUGUUCCAAGGAUAUUUCCGACUCAACCACAAUCCUUAAACAUCCUGUGGACACUUUAAUCGACGUGUUGCUAAGUCCCGCCCCCUGAAGGCAGACCAGCCAAUGACGGUGAAGCGUGUGACAAGCGUGUCUCUGCCCCAAUAAUUCUCACCAAAGGUUUCAGAUCUUCUCAGUGAGUUCAUGAGCGGUGACAGUAACAGUUUCAGAAAACAUUACGAGUCUAAAAUACUGAUUGCAGACGUUGUUUUUAAAUUCUUUCUUUGUGCAUAAAUAAUUACUUGUGCAUAAAUAAGUUAUUUCUGGAGGCCGAGUCAUUACUUUCUGCUCCGGGCCGCGGCGACUUGUUGGCUUGUUAUUUAUCGUUUUGAAUUAGCAUAAGUUUGAUGAAUGUGUGUGUGUUUGUGUGGAGGGGGAGGGGGGGGGGGGGGGCUGCUACGGUGGCCCUGAAGUGCAAAACACAACGACAUUAACUUCUUACGGAAAGGGGAGGGCCUUAUAGCAGAGGAGGACGGACCCUUCUGAUUGGACAGACGGAAUGUCUGUCUUUUAACAGGAAAUGAUGCAGGGCUCUCAAGUGUCACACAUUUCGGUCCCCGGGCCGUGUCGGCAGUAGCGUCCGCGGCGUCCCCCCCCCCCCCCCUUUUCAUUUACAACACCUAAAUAUAAUUGAAGAACAAAACAGCGGUAAAACGAUGGUGAAACACUGGUAGGACACUUUUAAGACACUCGUAAAACAUCGCCAUGUCUCCGUGACUUCCUGCUGCGUCUCCCCCCCCCCUCAUCAGAGACUCCCGCCACUCAUUUAUUGAUUGACAGAACAUCUAGAAAGCGGCAUCUCUCAGCUUUCACAAUCCAAUUGCGGAAAUAGUGACGGAGUCACGGUAAUUUCAAUCCUCCAUGUCACUCUCCGUCGCCGGCGAAAGGCUUCGGAUUAAGAGGGUGAAAAGACAGACAGUCCGUCUGUCCAAUCAGAAGGGUGCUUCCUGCUAUAAGGCCCCUCCCCUUUCCCUGAUCGUUGUGUUUUGCACUUCAGGGCCACCGUAGGGCUGCAGAGGAAGCUGUUUGUUUGCAUUUGUGCAUCGAUUACCCUCCUGUGCGAGCGGGGCCCCCGAAGGGCCUUCUGUUGGCCCCCAAAGUGGAACCGGCUUCGCUCUAACGACGCCGUUUAACAGAAAUGAUGCCGCUGCUACUGUGCCCGCCAAUGGCCACCUCGGGGCUGGCGGCAGUCGGGAACACAAACACUUCCGGCGGAGGCCUUCUGUUGUGACGACUUUAAUUAUUCACGUUUCCUCAAGCGGCUCGGUAGGUAUCUACCCCCAUUACCUGUCCUCCUCCGGGGGGGUUGGUCCUCGGCCCGUUAGUAGUAUUACUAAAAUAAAGAUCACUGUCAGGGUACGGCGUGUCCCACACCGUCUUGUGUGGGACACGCCCACCUCGUCAUUUCGCAUCAUAAUUCUUAUGUUUAUCCCUGAACGCUGGAUGAGAGCAGUCCGAUGCAUAUUUACAUAUAUAUUUAUAGAGAUAUACUGUUUAUCUUUAUCUAUUUGUACAUGAACGGACGCCUCCUGGAGGCUCUGUGGAGUCUAAAGAGUAGUUAAGCCUAAAAGCAUCACCCUUAGAUCCUCUGUACCACAGGGGGUACCACGAUGCGUAUUAAUUAUGUUCUUGUGGGAAGUCCACUCAUUUAACCUCUGAAGUGAGCAGGACGGUGGGACCCCCCCCCCCCCGUGCACCUCCUCCCUAUCACGGCUCUUUUUUCAGAUGUGCUCCCUGUGAUGCAAUCAGGACGUUGCAGGUGCAUCACAAUCAGCCUCUGGUGACUCGUUGUUCUUAUUGGUACCACUCACCUUUCUGUCUUCCCCUGAUGAGUUUCCCGCCUCCGUCUCAAGACUCCAUCGCACCUCCGGCGUCUUGGCUGGGCGGAGGUCCUCGCUACAGGAGUCCGGUCCGGUGGGGCAGCAGA
ensembl:lncRNA